rnacentral:rRNA from 1 species
AACUAAUUGAGUUUGAUGAUGGCUCUGAAUGAACGCUAUCUCAAGUGCUUGACACAUGCUAAUCUAACGUCUAAUUUAAAUAUUAACCAAAGAAUAUAUCUUUUAUAUAAUUUACACUAAUAUAUUUUAUAUAUCUUUUGAGAGGAUUUUUUUAUUAGAAGUGGUGUACAGGUGAGUAAAGGAUAUUUUGGCUACCUUAAAGUGAGGUUAAUAAAUGCCUUAUGGUUUUUAAUCUGCCUGAUGAGAUCUAAUAUAAGAUCUUUGCCUAUGCGCAAACUUCGGUGUGUGCUGAGCAGUAGCUAAUGUUUCCUUCUCAAGGAAGUUGAAGGAGAGCUCCUCCAGAGAGGCCUUUAGACAGAAUAAAAAAAAAGGAAAUAACGAAUAUUAAGAGGGCUUUUUAAUGGUAAGGGUUGAGCUCUAGCUAGGCUAGAUCUUGCUAUGCUCUAUAGCUAGCAAUAAUCAGAGAGUGCUAGCUUUAAAAUGCUAGCGCUUAUGAACUAGAGGAGCAUGCCACUCUUAAAAAGGCGCUGUUUUUAUUUUUUUCCGCUUUAAGAGGACAAUUAAUAUUUCGGAUAGGUAGUAGUUAAAGUAAUGGUUUGACUAGCUUAUAAUUCCGUAAUCGUAACUGAGAGGUUUAUCGAUCACAUUGGGUCUGAAAAAACCCCAAUACGUAUAGUACAGCAGUGGGGAAUAUUGGUCAAUAGCCUAACGGCUGAACCAGCAACUUGGGAGUAUGUAUAGCUUUUUACUAAGCUAAUAUCACAUUAAAUGGUUGUGUAUAAACCAUUUAUCAGGUAGAGAGAAAUGACUCUACAAGACUAGAGGUGCUUAUCUUGCUAGAGCUAAUCUGGGUCCAAAAAGGCUCAGCUAACCUCUUGCAAUGGUUUGUUUUACCAUGAUCUAAAAAUAUAAAAUAUCUUUUGCUAAGCGUAAGGCAAUAGUGUUUUUUUUAGUUCUUGGUUAUUAAAACUUUUCUGGGUGUUUACAACAAUUUAAUAUAGUCGUUGCCUACUAAGACUAAAAUUUUUUUUAAACUUUACUUUGAUAUAUCGAUUUACUCGAAUAAAAUACUAGGUAGGCCAGGCUAUCUUAAUGUAAAGUGUUAAGAUUUCUCUAAUAUAGGAAUUAGAAUUGAUUAUGACAUAGGCCUAUCUACAAGUCUUGACCAAAAUACGUGCCAGCAGUCGCGGUAAUACGUAAAAGACUAGUGUUAUUCAUCUUUACCAGGUUUAAAGGGUACCUAGACGGUAAAAAUCGUCUUAGAUAAGAUACGAUUAUACUAGAGUUAUAUAUAAGGAGGUGAGUAUUUAUGGAGUGCGAGAGUUGAAAUUUGUUCAUACCAUAAGGACUGGUAAAGGCGAAAGCAACCUUUUAUCUAAUAACUGACGUUGAGGGACGAAGGCUCGGGUAGCGAACAGGAUUAGAUACCCUGGUAGUCCAAGCAGAAAAUGAUGAAUGCUAUAGGUUAGAUUUUUAUUUAGUCUAUAAAUUAAAAUGUAAGCAUUCCACCUCAAGAGUAAUGUGGCAACGCAGGAACUGAAAUCAUUAGACCGUUUACUGAAACCAGUAGUGAAGUAUGUUAUUUAAUUCGUAGGUACGCGAAAAACCUUACCACAACUUGAAUAUUAUCUAUCAGGAUAUUACAAGCGUUGCACGGCUGUCUUCAGUUAAUGUCGUGAGAUGCCGGUUAACUCCUUUAAAUUAACGGAAACCCUUGCUUUAAUUAUCUUAAGAAAUAAAGCAGUUCACCAUCUAAAUCGGAUAUGAUCACAGGGGGCAAGACAAGUCAUCAUGGCCUAAAUGUUGUGGGCGAUAGACGUGCCACAUAUUCCUAUACAAAAUGAUGCGAUAAUGCGAAUUGGAGCUAAUCAUCUAAAGUAGGAUAUAAUAAGGAUUGUAGUCUGAAACUCGACUAUAUGAAUAAGGAAUUACUAGUAAUCGUGAAUAAGAACGUCACGGUGGAUUUAAUCUCAUUUGGGUACUAACUACUCGUCAGGCGCUGAAAAAAGUGUGUGCAAUAAGUUUGGUUUUUUUUAUAUUUUUUAUUCUAGAUAAUUAGUUCUAGUUAUCUAUAAGGAAAAUCUUCGUAUGCGUGACUUUAAUUAGUGUUAAGUCGAAAUAUGGUUCGUGUAGUGGAAGUUGCACGGGAUUUAUU